GUAGGUGGCAAGCGUUGUCCGGGAAUUAUUGGGGCGUAAAGCGCGCGCAGGCGGUUCUUUAAGCCUGAUGUGAAAGCCCACGGGCUCAACCGUGGAGGGUCAUUGGAAACUGGAGAACUUGAGUACAGAAGAGGAAAGCGGAAUUCCACGUGUAGCGGUGAAAUGCGUAGAGAUGUGGAGGAACACCAGUGGCGAAGGCGGCUUUCUGGUCUGUAACUGACGCUGAGGCGCGAGAGCGUGGGGAGCAAACAGGAUUAGAUACCCUGGUAGUCCACGCCGUAAACGAUGAGUGCUAAGUGUUAGGGGGUUUCCGCCCCUUAGUGCUGCAGCUAACGCAUUAAGCACUCCGCCUGGGGAGUACGGCCGCAAAGGCUG
rnacentral:rRNA from 1 species